rnacentral:rRNA from 1 species
AACGAACGCUGGCGGCGCGCCUAAUACAUGCAAGUCGAGCGAGAAGACGUAGCAAUACGUUUGUAAAGCGGCGAACGGGUGAGGAAUACAUGGGUAACCUACCCUCGAGUGGGGAAUAACUAGCCGAAAGGUUAGCUAAUACCGCGUACGCUCCUUGGACUUCGGUUCAGGGAGGAAAGCGAUACCGUGGGUAUCGCGCUCUUGGAUGGGCUCACGUCCUAUCAGCUUGUUGGUGAGGUAACGGCUCACCAAGGCUUCGACGGGUAGCUGGUCUGAGAGGACGAUCAGCCACACUGGCACUGCGACACGGGCCAGACUCCUACGGGAGGCAGCAGUAAGGAAUAUUGCNCAAUGGGCGAAAGCCUGACGCAGCGA